GUGGGUGUAGCUCAGUGGUAAGCAUGUUCUUGGCAUGCAUGAGGUCCUGGGUUCAAUCCCCAGUGCCUGCA
rnacentral:tRNA from 1 species